GUGAUCGAUCACCUCUCGCUGUCAUACACUUACUCUCAGCGACGUCCGCUUCAUGCCAUUCAGAAACCAAACUUGUUUCAGAGACGACGUGUUGGGCCGAAUCAUGUGCAGGCCAGUGUGGUGCUGAAAACAACUGGACCAAGGGUCACUACACCGAGGACACAGAGCUGUAGACUCAGUCUUGGAUGUGGUAAGAAGGAGGCCGAGGGCUGCGACCUCCAGCUCACACACUCACUGGGAGGUGGUACCUCUUGAGGUCUGUGCCACGUAAACCGGACCCAAAACAAAUAAAUAAUAACAUCCACCUAGAACUCAUGUUACAGAAAGCAGUACGGAGGGUGAUUAUGUAUAAAUUAUAAAUAUAAGGACCACAAAGAUCUGGACUGAACGUCUGUUAUUUGGAACCUAAUCCUUCUCUUUCAGUUUUUGAUGUGUACCUCUGCCUAGGUUUAGACGUAGAAACGGACGUUUCACCAUCUUCAUUUUUCAAAAAUAAUUCCAUGCAUAUGUAUCCGUAUACAAAAAAAAUGGUUCACACCAACCCAACAUUCCAAAACUGUAGGUGGCAGUGUAACAACAAGCUGAAACUCGCAUUGGCCACUGUAUUCUGCCCCGCCAUUCAUAUAAUCGAGCUGCUGUAUUUACACAUGCAAAGAGAGCUUACAUCAACAUAAAUGCUGCUUCUGCUCAUAAGGAAUCCAUGACAGUCACACCUUUGAAGCAGAUGCAAGUUCUGUCUGUACUGCCGGCUGUUUAUACGGAAACGUGCAGUUGGAAUUAUUUUUUAAGAAAUCCACUCUGGCCGGACUUUUUUUUUUUUUGCAUUGUUUCUAGAGGUGAAUUCUGUUUGCGUAGAAGAGAUAUUACUUCUUUUCUAAAAAUAGCUAGCUACGUCUUAACGGGGCCAUGGCCUGUUGUGCUGUUAUCUCAAUAACACAUAAAUUUACUUCCUUUUUGCCACAUUUUGAUGUAGUGUUAUAUAGUUUAAAUAGUUUGACUCCUCAUGAUGCAGCAUCGCAUUGUCAAAUUUGCUUUAUCUGUUGGUCUUAUUUUUGAUUGGAUUUCAAUGAUCAAAAAUGGACCAGAACUGUUGGCGAUUAUCUUUCCACUGUUGAUGACAUUCUUCGUGUCAAACAUAAGUUCUGGGAUGCCAAACGUAUUCUUGUCUGACAAAAUCGAAAUGGUUGACUUUAGCAGCUGCAUUGAAAGAUGAAUAGUCUCAAUCUAGUUCAUACUUAACCCAAGUAUGAACUACUGAUGUGAUAAAAAUCAUUUGUUUCAUUGGUUUUGAGCAUAAAAGUGCAAAAACGUACAAUUCAAUGCACACUUUCUUACAAACUACAGAAACCCAUUUGCAGUUCUUUAAAUAUGACCUGAUGUCAAGUCAUUCCAACAACAGUUUAUUCUUUCUUGGCAUUAGUUAUGUGAAGACGUUUUUCAUAUUACAUGGUUAAUUGUUAACUCCUGACAAAAGUAGAGGGCAAACAAAACAUUUGUGGAGGCAGAACAACGGUGGUAAGUAGUGUGACGGAAGGUACAUUCAAUUCAUUGCUGCUUGUUAAACAGGUUCUCCAAGGCAAGGACACAAGGUAAUGUCAGCAGCCUCUACUGAAAAUGAACACGUAUAAAAAAAAUGUAGACGAGUAUUUGUACUCUCGAUUGAAACAUCAAAUGAAACAUCAUUCAAGACAGAAGAAAGAGAAUUGUUGUCUAUAAAAAUAUAGAGCAGAUCACUGCCUGCAUACCUGAGUUACCAUUGUCAUUUCUCACUCAGAAUUGUUGUGAUGGAGAAAUAAAAAUAGAGAUAAAUUGUACUAUUAUUAUUACUAUUAUAAUUAUUUUUUUACAAUGAAUGUAUUUCUUGGCACUUUCAUCUGACAGACAGGCAAACAGAAUGAUUCAAACAAGGGUUUGUGUUUAGCAUCAAGGAUUACAAUGUAUUAAUGACAAAAACACAAGAUAGUACACAUACAGGCGGAAAGGAAGCAAGUUAAGUGGAUAAAAGCCAUUUGUGUGGAAAGUGCAAUGACAUUUUUUUCUUUUUACAAAGCAAAAAAAAAAAAAAAAAAAAACAUUUAAAGUCCAUAUAAUGGUAAACUCGUGGUCGACAGCUGCUUCGUACCAUCCAGGAAACAUGGUUGUUUUUCUUCAAUAAAAUCCAUCCAGUUGAUUAAAAUCAGCCUGAAUGUUUCUGGCCCAGCUAAAUCAUCGCAGAUCCAUCAUGGACACGGAGUCAUUGGAGAUAGUCACAUGCGCAGCAUGCUGGGGGAAAAAAAACAAGCACAAGUCAAGACAGCAAGGAAUGAAUACUGAUUUUAGUACUCAGUGCUUCCCAAAUUACUCUUUAGCAUGACUUUAGUUUUCCUGUGUCAUGAAGCGGCCACAUUAUUUUAGAAGUGAAAUUGUGAAAAUAGCCACAUAGGUCUCCUUCCUGCAUCUGUGAAUCAACAGUCACAUGGUAUGUAAAAGUGGAACGUACAGUAAAUAGAGGCGGGUCUUUACUGUGAGGAUGAAAGCCUUUCUGUUUACAUGUGGAGAUCUCAGUCGUGCCUCGAUCCGUCAGCCUGAAGUAGCCAAUCCUGGAAUACAGCGCGGUUGAAUAUUGAAGUGAGAUGGAGACAAAAAUGAAAAGGAAGGUAUUUUGACAUUUACUCGUUAAACUUAGGAGAGCAGACGAUCGCGAUUGCCUCUGGUAGCAUCAUCUGGUAGGAACAGUGGGUGUGGAGGUCAACACUAGAAAGGAAUGCGGUUUGAGUAGGAUGAGUCUGCAGAAGAAGAAAAAAACAUGCUUAAAAUGUAGCAAUACACAUGUAUAAAUAAGCUUGUCAUUAUUAUCUCUUUCUAAUGGAGUGAAUUCAAUGUUCACAGCUUUCAAAGCUGAGGCAGUCAGUAAAACAAUAACAUCUUAAUAGCACGUUGAUAUUAGUGAAGAUCUUGCCUUCUCAAUUCUGGUAUAACAACACUGAAAUUACAGUUAUGGCAACAAAAAAUGUGGAAAUAUGACUCACAUGGAUCCAUCCAAGAGUGAUGAGGUCAUACUGGUCCUGUAUGACAAAGAGUUCCUCCUCGUUUUCAGUGUCGCAGUAAUCCGGUCCUCCACACUGCUUUGGUACGAUCACAUGGGUCACAGUAAAAGCAUUUCUAGUCUGGACGGAAAUGAAAGAGAAACCAGCUUUAAUAUUGGAUUCAUUGGAUUCGUGUGAGAUGGCUGGCUAGGACUUGUGACAUUCGUCGGAACGUCAAUCUUUGACUAACGUUUCCAGCUAUUUUCAGCUGGGUCACCAGGAAGUAACAAUCCAAAUGUAACCGUGACAAACCACAGGCAGCUUUCAACAAACCUAAAACACAGUCACCGGGCAGGUUAGCUGACAGAUUAAAUAAGGAAGUUAAUAAGUAACAAGAUAAAAGACAAAACCGGUCAACACAAUUACAUUAUAGUCUUUCAUAUGUUGGAUGAAGAUAAGAUAAACUGUUUCAUUUCUGUCCCCAACAUCUCAUAGACAAUAACCUGCAACCUUGCCUGUGUUACCAAGAUCACCUAGCAAGUAAAUCACCGUAGUACACACAGUAAAAGGUUUUCUGAGGGUAGUUUGUUGUUACUUUGGACCCACGUUCCAGUUCACCAUGCUGACUUUGUAAUGGAACUUACCAACUUGCCACAGAGGAUGCCACAUGUUUCCACAGCCCGGCUGGUGUUGGCCUCUGCCAACCUGAGGAAGCUCCUGCAUAACUCGGAAGGAACGGUCAACUGUCGCACGGCAUCCACCAUCGUAUCUAGAAACAACAUGAAGAAAGGUGAAGGAAACUGCAUGGAAGUGCUGCAUUCUUCCAUAUCCUAUCGUUAACAGAAAGAGAAGUGGGUCAUGGAGAAAGAAAGCAGCUCAGAAGUACAAACACGUUAAAGAGCAUUCUAAUCUGGUGCAGGUCGGUCCCCGGUGUCAGAAGAACAUUAACUCACUGUUGUUCCCAGGGCAGACCAGCGAUCCAGGUUUGAGAGACCGGUCAAAGCUUGGCGGAGCAGCGGGUGCUGUGCUGAUGUUUCCAGAUGGACGGCUGUUGCUGGACGAGUCGUCUGGGAUAUGUGAAAAGUUCGAAGAUAUCAAAGGUGGCUCCUGGACACCUGGGACUAGGGGGCUUUCAGGGGAAGGUGCUGUAGGGGUUGCAAACUCCAAAAGCACUCGCUGGCGUUCCUUCUCCAGUUCUUGGCGGCGGAUCAUUUCCUCGAAGGCACUGAACUGUUCCUGCUCCAGCUGCCGCCGUUGCAUGUCGGCUACACGCUUCCUCUCAGCAUCCAGUGCUUUCUGUCUGGACUGUUCUUGUGCCAAGGCUUCUUCCUCGGCUUUCUGGGGAAACAAACAUAAUGCAUGGUAGGACAGAAGGUCAGCAUAAGUCAUCAAAGUUCGUAAUGAGGCUGUAGUUUGAUCAUAUGAGUAACUACAAAAUUCUAUGAGGAAUUUUUAGCAGUGUCUCCUAUUGGGUUUGUCGCAGACUUGCAGAGACACCAGUACCAUUUUGACUCAACUAAAUGUCACUUUUGAUCAAGCAAAUCAAUACAUGAAAACCAACUGUCCAAAGGUCGAAAUUAACAAGUCGCAAAUAGACUUUCAGUCUUCAACCAACUCCACCUAAAAAGGAAAUUGAAUUACUUUAAUUACAAAAUAAAGACGUCAGGAGGUUGAGAUAGCCAUGGUGUGAGCUCCUACAUGGCAUGAUGUGAAGAAGAGGAGGCCAAGACUAACAUCGAAAACUAAACGUUUGUGUCGCUUAACCCUCUGGGUUCCAAAGUCACAAAAUUGCGACGGGUAGCAUCGCAGAAUUUAGACAAGCAACAUCUGAGGGAGUGUUUGUAUUAAAACAUUUCAAAACCCGACCCUGGUCAUCACCAUCAGCAUCAUCGCUUCAGAAAUGAGGAAGAAUGUCACCAGUGGAUCAACUAAACAUCUGUAAAAGUAAUGUAAUGUAAUAUACUAUGGCCAGCGCAUGGUGACAGAUCAAAUUAGAAUUAGAUGAGUGAAUUUACUCUCGUCUCCUUUGGGUCAUACACACUUUAUUCGGCUUUACAAAGUGGCUUCCUCACUAACCUAUGGCCAUUAGAAAGAGUGAUAUCAUGUGGAAUAUUUCAUUAAAAACUCUGGCGCCCAAUGUAUCAUUAACCAACUAAAACAAAGUGAAAUUAGCUAUAUUCAUUCAGAGCAUAUCAAUUUAUCUGUAAAAGAAUAAAAGAGCUUUUAAUUCCAUGAUCAGUACCUAAGUUAUAGCUACAAGACUGCUUUCAAGGGUGGCGAUCACUUACCUUUUUGACAAGAUACUGUGCAUACUCUUGAUCAAAUCUCCUUAGCAGAGUUUUCUUUAGAAUUUCCGCUUGAGGAAAUGCAACAUCCUUCAGUUUCUGUAGCAAAAUAAGGUAAAAACUAAGGUAAUUAUGAGGUACAUCAACUGGGGCGGUCAAUAGAUGCAUUUUUAAUCUCAUUUUUAAUCACAGUAAAGCUGAGUUAAAUCACAAUUGAUGGUGUUAAAUAUUAAAUUAAUUGAGCUUAAAAAUGUUUAUCUUCCAACAGCCCAAACAUAAACCGGAGGUAGUGUAUUAGUGUACGCGUCAUACCAACCUUCAGUGUUUCCUUCUUCUCAGGAAUGUUAGCUGUUUUGUAAUCCCGGUGUUUGGGAAGUUUUUCUAUAAAGAGCCUGGUGACAAAAUGGUGUGCAAGAGAGACGGUGUCAAUUAAAAUACACGUUCUAUCUUUAGAUGAGUCUAUUAGGCUAGUCAUGAUGUAAAACGUACACUGGCUGAUGAAUUACAAUUGAUACUGUGACCUACGUGAUGUACUUGUUGUAGAGGAUGAAGGCGUGCUCAAUGUUGCCCUCUUCAGUGUAGAUGUGGGCCAUGCGAAUCAACUCCAUGCCGGAGCGAAAGUAGCGGCGAGGAGGUACAUCAUCGUUGACUUCCACCACGCUUCCCUUUUUGGCGAUCUCCCCAGGCGUUUCGAUCAUCUGUGGGAGCUGUCAAUGGCUUUCAGCAGUGCUCGGACGGAGCGCUAGCCGCAGCCAGCUAACUCACCACAGCCAGCCGCUUUACAGAGGACCAAUGUAAUCAGCCACAGCAUUUAGUUAACAAUUAGACAAGCACGACCCAUAGUCUUACCAGCUUUUCUGUCACCUGGUGCUCCUACAUAAGGUUAUAAAAUGAAAUGGCUUGAUUUCCCGUUCGGUGGAGUCUUCCGCAAUCACACGAACGUCUGCCUGACGUCAUCCAACGUCGAGCGUUUCUUCUUCUCUGAAAUAAAAAAAA